UCGCGGCGGUGCGCGCAGAAGGGUCUGGGCUCGAGCCUGCCUGGAGCCGCCGCCGGUGCAGAUCUUGGUGGUAGUAGCAAAUACUCCAGCGAGGCCCUGGAGGACUGAUGUGGAGAAGGGUUUCGUGUGAACAGCCGUUGCACACGAGUCAGUCGAUCCUAAGCCCUAGGAGAAAUCCGAUGCAAACGGCGAUGGGAAAAACGAACUGAACUCGAUAGAGACAGAGACCCAUUGAACGGGCGAAAGGGAAUCCGGUUCCUAUUCCGGAACCCGGCAGCGGAACCGUUGUUUGUCGGGCCCUCACAAGGGGUUCGUCAGGGCAACCUAAAAGGGCCCGGAGACGCCGUCGGGGGCCCCGGAAAGAGUUUUCUUUUCUCCAUGAGCGUUCGAGUUCCCUGGAAUCCUCUCGCAGGGAGAUAGGGUUUGGAACGCGAAGAGCACCGCAGUUGCGGCGGUGCACGGGAAUUCCCGACGGACCUUGAAAAUCCGGGAGAGGGCCACGUGGAGGUGUCGCGCCGGCUCGUACCCAUAUCCGCAGCAGGUCUCCAAGGUGAAGAGCCUCUAGUC
rnacentral:rRNA from 1 species